CCUACGGGUGGCAGCAGUGGGGAAUAUUGCACAAUGGGGGAAACCCUGAUGCAGCGACGCCGCGUGAGUGAAGAAGUAUUUCGGUAUGUAAAGCUCUAUCAGCAGGGAAGAAAGUGACGGUACCUGAUUAAGAAGCCCCGGCUAACUACGUGCCAGCAGCCGCGGUAAUACGUAGGGGGCACGCGUUCUCCGGAUUUACUGGGGGUAAAGGGAGCGUAGACGGCAGCACAAGUCUGGAGUGAAAUGCCGGGGCUUAACCCCGGAACUGCGUUGGAAACUGUGCAGCUAGAGUGCAGGAGAGGGAAGUGGAAGUCCUAGUGUAGCGGUGAAAUGCGUAGAUAUGAGGAGGAACACCAGGGGCGAAGGCGGCUUACUGGACUGUAACUGACGUUGAGGUGCGAAAGCGUGGGGAGCAAACAGGAUUAGAUACCCGUGUAGUC
rnacentral:rRNA from 1 species